CGCAAGCCUGAUGCAGCGACGCCGCGUGAGGGAUGACGGCCUUCGGGUUGUAAACCUCUUUCAGUAGGGAAGAAGCGUAAGUGACGGUACCUGCAGAAGAAGCGCCGGCUAACUACGUGCCAGCAGCCGCGGUAAUACGUAGGGCGCAAGCGUUAUCCGGAAUUAUUGGGCGUAAAGAGCUCGU
rnacentral:rRNA from 1 species